rnacentral:rRNA from 1 species
GGGUGCGAUCAUACCAGCACUAAUGCACCGGAUCCCAUCAGAACUCUGCAGUUAAACGUGCUUGGGCGAGAGUAGUACUAGGAUGGGUGACCUCCUGGGAAGUCCUCGUGUUGCACCCCCCU